GUGGCACUUCUUGCUCAGCUAUACGGUAGACGGGUAAGGAGCGUCACAUAAAAUCUCAUUUGUUAUUGAAGUUAGGAUGCUAAAACUGUUUUUUAAAAAUUUUAUUUAAUUAUUUUAAAGUUUGAAAACAUUAUAAAAAAUUAAAAAGAAAAAACUAUUUAACACGGUGCUAAAUGAUUAAAAAAAUUAUAGAAACAUAGUCAUUGUUAAACUUUACAAAAAAUUUAAAAAUGAGAAAAAUGCACUAAAAGAAGGGUGUUUAGAAAGGAGAGAGUGCAUAAUAAAGCCGUUGGUGGAAUUGGGUUGACUUACAUUCUAGGGAAAAAGAGAACAAUUUUAAAAAAUUUGUAAAAAAAUUGUAAGAUUUUGUCUGUAAUUUUAAUAAUUAAAUAGGUCAAAGUUAAUUUUUUAAUGUGAUUAAUAUUAAUUGAUAUUUACUUUAA
rnacentral:misc_RNA from 1 species